rnacentral:rRNA from 1 species
UGAGGAAUAUUGGUCAAUGGACGCAAGUCUGAACCAGCCAUGCCGCGUGCAGGAUGAAGGUGCUAUGCAUUGUAAACUGCUUUUGUACGAGGGUAAAUGCAGGUACGUGUACCUGUUUGAAAGUAUCGUACGAAUAAGGGUCGGCUAACUCCGUGCCAGCAGCCGCGGUAAUACGGAGGACCCGAGCGUUAUCCGGAUUUAUUGGGUUUAAAGGGUGCGUAGGCGGAUUAGUAAGUUAGAGGUGAAAGCUCGAUGCUCAACAUCGAAAUUGCCUCUGAUACUGUUAGUCUAGAGUAUAGUUGCGGAAGGCGGAAUGUGUGGUGUAGCGGUGAAAUGCUUAGAUAUCACGAAGAACUCCGAUCGCGAAGGCAGCUUGCCGGACCGUAACUGACGCUGAGGCUCGAAGGUGCGGGGGUAUCGAACAGGAUUAGAUACC